rnacentral:rRNA from 1 species
GGUAAGUUUAAAUUGGUUUAGGGGGAAACUGGGAAUGGGUCCUUAUAUCCGUUAUUGUUUAUUUGGAAUUGUUUUUAUAAGGAUUACCGUAGUAAUUUUUGGGGUUAUUCCAGUGUUUUUUUUGAUGGGCAACCCUGAAAGAAGUUAUUUUUAGGCAUAAAACCAAAGAUGAUGGUGGGUAAUUAUAAUUGUGUUGACUUUAUCGCAUGCUUGUUAGUAGCGAUGUUCCUUUCAAGUUUCUGCCCUAUCAGC